AUUGAACGCUGGCGGCAGGCCUAACACAUGCAAGUCGGGCGGAGCGGCGGACGGGUGAGUAAUGUAUGGGGAUCUGCCUGAUGGAGGGGGAUAACUACUGGAAACGGUAGCUAAUACCGAAUACCAUCAGAUGAACCCAUAUGGGAUUAGCUUGUAGGUGGGGUAAAGGCCUACCAAGGCGACGAUCCGUAACUGGUAUGCGAGGAUGAUCAGUACCACUGGAACGGAGACACGGUCCAGACUCCUACGGGAGGCAGCAGUGGGGAAGAUUGGACAAUGGUCGAAAGCCUGAUCCAGCCAUGCCGCGUGUGUGAAGAAGGUCUUCGGAUUGUAAAGCACUUUAAGUUGGGAGGCGUUACCAACAGAAUAAGCACCGGCUAACUUCGUGCCAGCCGCCGCGGUAAUAC
rnacentral:rRNA from 1 species